CCAAAUCAAAUAACCCCUUAACCAACCCAAAAAAUCCCAUCGCCCCUCCCUUUCUCUCAUUUUGGUGUUUCAUUUUUUCUUAUCCCCAAACCCUAAAAACCAUCUUCUCCCAAAAACCCCCCAAGCCGCCACACCCUUGAGACCUCCUCUAUACUUUUCAUCUUCUCCAAACGACCCCUCUCCCCAUCGCGAACAACCAGCCCCCUCGCUGCUUCUCCUUCACGAAACCAAACAGCCCACACCAAACAACCUGCAACAUCCAUUCUUCGUCGCCCAAACGACCACCACACACAUCGUCCAGUAACGACGACCUCGAGUGUUCAACCAUGAACUGUUGUUGUCCCCGUCCCUCGUAAGCCAACUUCUUCUUUCUCCAGUUCACAACCAAGCGAACCCCUUCUCCUUGGCUACUCCAGCUCGACCAAACGAACUCACAACCAAUCCGUUUGAUUUCAAAAGGUUCGAGUCUCAGUUUGAGCUUGAGUUCGUCCUGUCUUGAUUUCAUGAGGUAUUUUUCCUCCCCUUUUUGUUCUAUUUUGGUGUUAUUAUUAUUUGCUUAUGUUUGUUGUGUUAAUUCUUUUUUUGAUGUUGUCAAGCAUCUUUUCCUCCUUCUACGGACCUUUUUAUUUGGUCCAGUUUUAUCAUCACUUUUUUUUUUGUUGAUUGUCAUGUGUUAUACUUGUUGAGUCGUUGAAAUAACUUCGUCCAUUAGUCCGUUCAUAUUUGUAAUUUGUUAUUCUCGUCAAAUGGAUUGAUGUCGAAUGUGCUAUGUGCUAAUCCUUAGGCUUUUGUUGAUAAGAUUCACUCUAUGUUUUGUUCGUGCAUCCUACUGUUUUAAUUUGCUCUUUGUUGUUCAUUAUAUGGUUUGGUUCCCUGAAUCCUUAGUCUUUGUUCUCAUGAUAUUUGAUCUAAUAUGAGUUUCUAGCUUGAAUUUGUUGAUUUGAAUUUAAUUAGGAAUUGGUUAUAGUUGUUGUAGUUUGGUUAAUUGAUUAGGAAGGAUUGGAUAUAGCUGAUGGGGUAGAAUAGUACUUUUAGGGCAUCAGGGGGUAAUAAAUUGGAGUGCUCUGUCCAGGAGCAUUAAUGUGAUAUUAGAAUAAGUCACUUGUUUAAUAUAGUGGGGAACAAUAUAUAUAGUAGUGGGGGAUUAAUUGUUUAAAUAAAGAAAAAUAAGGGUUAGUGGGGAACACGACAUAAUGAUGUAAAUAAAGGAAAAGGGGGUUUGAAAAGUAAAAAAAAGGGAAUAAUAAUGAAACAUUUAAAAGUAUUCAUAUAGUAAAAUAAUAUAUAAAGGCUAGAAAGUAAAAGGAGGAGGGUGUAAUAAUAAAAAUUUUUCCUUUUACUACUAUAAAAGAAAAAAGGAGGGCUGAAAACAGAAAAGAGUUUUGGGUUUAAAUAUAGAGAUUGAGAGAUUUAUUAUAGGGGACUUGAACGUAGAAUAAUAAAGAAUUUGAGAGUUGAAAACCCCAUUGCUUCAUUGAUUUUAUUUUCCUGAUCAAAACACACUAACACUGAUCAUAAGUAACUCUAGUGCACCUUUUGAAUUCAUUUUAACUUGUAUUGGUAUUGUUGUUAGCCAAUCUCUGUUUUCUGUUUGGUUCACUGAUUCAUUUUUGAGUUGAACCUAAUGUACUAGUUCAAUUAGUUGCUGGUUGGUAUUUCUGAAAAUUGCAAACUGGUUUUCCUAAGUGUGCUACUGGACUUAUGUUACUCUGUUAGUGUUGCUGGGUAUUGUUGUUUGCUACUGUUGUUUGCUAUUGCUGCUGACCUUCCCCUCUUCUUCUACUUUCAAUUCCAGGUACACGUCUUGAACUAUAGUGAAGUGAUGUACGAUUUUAAGAAGUGGAAGUGAAAUUUUGUUUUUUUAAUCUACCAAUCUACUCAUCUACUGUGUUUAGUCAUAGUCUAAUUCAGUUGAUUUCUAUAUUUGCUAACUGAGUUUUGUAAUUAAACUUGGUUUGAUGGACUUUUAAGAGUGUUUGAGUAGUUAGAUUUGUAUUUGUGAUCAAAAUGAUGGACUGGAUCGGUAUGUAUGAGAUUGUUUCAGUUUACUUGAUCAUAUUCAUGUGAGUUCUAUUGGUUAAACCUUAGGUUGUUAUUAUAUUCACUAUAGCUGGUAGAACAAGGUUUUAUGUAGUCGAAGCUAACUCCAGUGGUUGUUCCAAAGUAAUAAAGUCGUUUGGAUCACUUGAUGAACAUAUUGCUGAAUAGGAAUGCUAUAGGUAAUUAAACCAUGUAAUCAGUUAUUGGUUUGUAUAUUUGAACCCAUUUCAUGAGGGUUCUAUUAAGUCAAGUCUUUGGCGUUUAAUUUCGCCCAGUCCAUUAGUUGUUAAAAAAUGAAAAAAUAAG
rnacentral:lncRNA from 1 species